rnacentral:rRNA from 1 species
UACGUAGGGGGCAAGCGUUGUCCGGAUUUAUUGGGCGUAAAGAGCGUGUAGGCGGCCAUACAGGUCAGCUGUGAAAACUCGAGGCUCAACCUCGAGACGUCGGUUGAAACCGUAUGGCUAGAGUCCGGAAGAGGAGAGUGGAAUUCCCGGUGUAGCGGUGAAAUGCGCAGAUAUCGGGAAGAACACCCGUGGCGAAGGCGGCUCUCUGGGACGGUACUGACGCUGAGAUGCGAAAGCGUGGGGAGCAAACGGG